CAGUCGCCGCGGUAAUACGUAGGUGGCAAGCGUUGUCCGGAAUUAUUGGGCGUAAAGCGCGCGCAGGCGGCCUAUCCAGUCUGUCUUAAAAGUUCGGGGCUCAACCCCGUGAUGGGAUGGAAACUAGUAGGCUAGAGUAUCGGAGAGGAAAGCGGAAUUCCUAGUGUAGCGGUGAAAUGCGUAGAUAUUAGGAAGAACACCAGUGGCGAAGGCGGCUUUCCGGACGAAAACUGACGCUGAGGCGCGAAAGCUAGGGGAGCGAACGGGAUUAGAUACCCCGGUAGUCCCUGUCUCUUAUACA
rnacentral:rRNA from 1 species